ACCUUUUGUUUGGCUUGAUGUUACCUGGUUUCUAUGACACUUUCCAUUUCCCAUAGCAGAUAAUAAAAAAUUAGCCUAAGUAGUAUUUUGCUACACAAGGGUAGAGGAAUCUAUAUCCAAAACAUCUGGACUACAUUUGUGAUAUUCACUGUUAAACAUAUACAUAACAGAAACCAAUAGACGUGUGUUGCACACGUCAUUAUUUGGUGGAUAUAUUACGUUUUCUUUUUUUUUUGUAUGAGAUCAUAUACUUAAAAUCAAUUAAUUUGAUACUAGAAAUGUGAUUAUGGGAAACGUAUAGGGGCAAAAGUUUCUUAUAUUUCCAAAAAAUGACCUAAAAGCUUCCAAUGAGUGAGUGUGACGGAU
rnacentral:lncRNA from 1 species